UACGUAGGGUGCAAGCGUUAAUCGGAAUUACUGGGCGUAAAGCGUGCGCAGGCGGUGAUGUAAGACAGUUGUGAAAUCCCCGGGCUCAACCUGGGAACUGCAUCUGUGACUGCAUCGCUGGAGUGCGGCAGAGGGGGAUGGAAUUCCGCGUAUAGCAGUGAAAUGCGUAGAUAUGCGGAGGAACACCGAUGGCGAAGGCAAUCCCCUGGGCCUGCACUGACGCUCAUGCACGAAAGCGUGGGGAGUAAACAGG
rnacentral:rRNA from 1 species